UGGCGUUGCCAAUACAACCAAAUUCUUCAACUGCAGUUUUUGCUGCAGAAGUAUAUAAGUGAUCACACUAGAAGAACAUUUACUAGAAAGAAGUUAAGGAGAGAGAAGACUAACCAUUCUUCCUUUAAAAUGAAAAAAAUGCUGGAAGUUUUUUCUAAAAAUUACAACAGAAAAUAGUAAACAGCUCAACAAUAUCUGUGGCCUACAUCAGCUGUUUGUGCCUGGCAUUCUGGUCAAGUGACUCACUGAUGGACUAUGAAAGUAAUGAGGCAAGAAUCCCACACACUGUGGAAGGAAGAACAGCAACAUUUUGCCAAGAAUACCUGGCACACAAAGGUGGACGAUGGACUCCAGUGUGACCAUCCAGAAUCGACGUGGAUGGAGGAUGGAGCAGCAGAUGAAGCUUGAGAGGACCUUCCCUAAGAAUUCCUGAACUGUCUGUAGUUAUGUGAAGGUCGCUGCUGAAACUGCUGUUGAGGAAAUUGCCAUUGCCAUUCCUCUGAAACCUUGGCUGUCUUUUUACUUUCGUGUAAACUUUUUAAUGACUCAUCUGUCUUUUCAUUAAAUAAAUCUUUAGCAUCAAAGGAUUGGUCCUCUACUUGUUUCUUAACAUCCUCCACAAUGCCAGAGGCUCAGAGCCAGGCAUGGCAGUGUAGUGCUAUGGCAGAGAUUAAAGUCUUAGCCAAGGCAUCUGUGGCAUGUCUGGAGGCUAGGCGUUGAUGUUUGGACAGGGUCAUUGCUUCAGCGUAGGUAUUGAGGAGGUCCUGACACAUUUCAUCAGGGGCUGCUUGCAAAGCUGGAAGCACCUUGGUCCAUAGCUGCUUUUGGUAUGCCCCCAUAGCUGCCUGAUAGUCGCAUACACAAAGCAGGAAGGUUUGAAAAUUGUAGAUCUUUCUGGCUAAAACAUCCAACUUCCUACCCUCUCGGUAGGGGUAACAUGCUGGCGUCCUGAGGCUUUUGAUGAAUUAGCCUGCACAAUGACCGAAUUAGGAGCAGGAUGCUUUGCUAAGAAAGUGGUGUCAUCACCAUGAACACGAUAUAGAUUCUCAGUCCUUCUAGGAAUAGGUUGAGGAGUGGAUGGUUGGGAUCAGGAUUCCUUUAUGAGGUUUAUUAACAGAGGAAUAAAGUUUAGGCUGAGAGGCUGUGUCCUGUCAUGAUCUAUGUCGCCAAAAAUCAGGUCAUCAGACGGAGGAGGUGGAAGCUGAGUGUCCAUCUUUAAGGUCUUGGCCAUUCUAGCCACCAUCUGCACAUAUGAGAAGGCCUCCGAGGGCGAGGAGGGAUGAGGAUCUCCUGUGUCUGAUUCAAAAGAUUCAGCUUCUAUAGCAGACUGGUGUUGAGGAGCAGAAAAUAAUUCAUCUCCCUGAUCUGAAGACACCUCACAAAGAACAUCCUCAUCGUCAGAAGGCAAUGUCUGAGUAUCUUUCUGUCUCAGGGAAUGGUGAAGUGCAGAUCCCUGUAAACGAGAAUGGAGAGUGGUUUGCUGGGCAUCCUUCGACACCGAUCUCGACGUCAAAGCAAGUUUGGUAGGAACUUUCUUAGUGGCUCUAAUGGGCUUGACAUCGUAAUGUUGUAACGUCGAUGUGGGGAAGGCGAGGUCAACAUCGAAGAAGAAGACGAAGAAGAAGAAUAUCGCCUCUUUCUAUGCCUACGGUAGUCCUCGGAGAUCGAAGAAAAGGAGCUUGACUCGGUGUCGAAGUAUCGACAUUGACGCCUGGACCUUCUUUUAUCUGCUUGAAUGUAAGCAGAGCGGUCACGUUUAUGCUUCUUUCGACGUCGAGAAGUGUCCCUGUGGGAGGCUCGACGUCGAUCAGGAGAAAGGUGUUUUCUCUUGGAAGUUUUCUUGCGAGGCGGAGAAUCGUGCCUCGAGGAGAAAGAAGGCAAUCGUGGAGCCUCUAACGCCCGCCCGGCUGAAGCAGGGCUAAGAUG